GUGGGGAAUUUUGGACAAUGGGCGCAAGCCUGAUCCAGCAAUGCCGCGUGCAGGAAGAAGGCCUUCGGGUUGUAAACUGCUUUUGUACGGAACGAAACGGUCCGGGUUAAUACCCUGGGCUAAUGACGGUACCGUAAGAAUAAGCACCGGCUAACUACGUGCCAGCAGCCGCGGUAAUACGUAGGGUGCAAGUGUUAAUCGGAAUUACUGGGCGUAAAGCGUGCGCAGGCGGUUUUGUAAGACAGGCGUGAAAUCCCCGGGCUCAACCUGGGAAUUGCGAUUGUGACUGCAAGGCUGGAGUGCGGCAGAGGGGGAGGGAAUUCCGCGUGUAGCAGUGAAAUGCGUAGAUAUGCGGAGGAACACCGAUGGCGAAGGCAAUCCCCUGGGCCUGCACUGACGCUCAUGCACGAAAGCGUGGGGAGCAAACAGGAUUAGAUACCCCUGUAGUCC
rnacentral:rRNA from 1 species